rnacentral:rRNA from 1 species
UACGUAGGGUGCGAGCGUUAAUCGGAAUUACUGGGCGUAAAGCGUGCGCAGGCGGUGAUGUAAGACCGAUGUGAAAUCCCCGGGCUUAACCUGGGAACUGUAUUGGUGACUGCAUCGCUCGAGUAUGGCAGAGGGGGGUAGAAUUCCACGUGUAGCAGUGAAAUGCGUAGAGAUGUGGAGGAAUACCGAUGGCGAAGGCAGCCCCCUGGGUCAAUACUGACGCUCAUGCACGAAAGCGUGGGGAACAAACAGG